CGCUUCGGAGUCUCGUCGCAGAAUAGCCCUCCUCCCUCCUCCCUCCUCCCUCCUCCGAGCCAUGAGGAGGGCUUCUUCCUCUCUCCUAUCCGCCAUCACCGAAUCCAACCUCUCUUCUCGAAAUCUCCUCGCAAAUCUCUUCUCUCACCUCUCUCCCCGACGCCAAUCCCUUCUCUCUCCUCCCCAUCUCAACCCCACCUCGAAUUCCUACCCUCUCCUCCCCAACCCCCAUCCGUUCUCGAAAUUUCCCCCGCAUCGCGCCAACCAAACCCUUUCCCUAAUCUCCACUCCUCUCCCCAAUCGCCAUUCAGAGCUCGGAGCAUCCAGGCUCCGAGAAGCCCUCGAAUCCGCCACCACCUCAGAGGAACUCCUCGCUGCCUUCAAAAACAUGGAAUCCUCUCUUGACGAGAGCGACGAGAGGCUCGGUGCGGCCUGCCUGAUGGUGGGCGAGCGCCUAGAAUCCCCAGGCUUCGAGGAAGCCGAUAAAGCUCUCGACUUUGCCCUUAGAGCUCUGAAGAUUUUCGAGAAGAGGGAUGGGGGAUGGUCGCUCUCGAUCGUGAAAGCCCUUCGUUUGAUGGGCUCGAUCGCUUGCAAGCUCGAGCGGUUCGACGAUAGCUUGGAGUCAUUGAACGCGGCUGAUGAGAUUCUUGAAAGGCUGCAAUUUGGAAGUUGCAGUGAUUCUGAAGUUUGGUUGGUGAGCAUCGCCGUCCAGCUCCAGCUUGCGAGUACGAAGACGGCAAUGGGCCGAAGAAGGGAGGCUUUGCUCAACCUCCGAAAGUCUCUAGAGCUUAAAAAAUCGAUCUUGGAGCAUAGUAGUCUGGAAUUGGGCACUGCCUAUAAGCAUUUGGCGGAGGCUUGCACGGUAGUGUUGGAUUUUAAGGAGGCCUUGCCGUUGUGUUGGAAGGCGUUGGAGAUUUAUGAGGCCCAAUUUGGGGUGGAUUCUGCAGAGGUGGUCCAGGUUCGGCAGCUUCUUGGGAUUAUAUAUACUAGUUUGGGGAAGAAUGAGGAAGCGUUGAAGCAGAACGAGCUCUCAAGGAGAGUCUUGGAGAGUUCAGGAUUGGAUACUGAAUUGCUUGAGGUGGAAAUCAACGUGGCUAAUAUUCAAAUUGCAUUGGGUAGGGUGGAUGAGGCAAUGAACACUCUUAAAAGAGCGAUUCAGCGGUCUGAAAAGGAGAGUGAGACUCGGGCAUUCGUUUUUGUCUCUAUGGCAAAAGCCUUGUGUUGCCAAGAGAAGUUUGGGGACUCGAGGAGGUGUUUGGAGAUUGCUUGUGGUAUUCUCGACACGAAAGAUUCAGCCUCUCCUGCAAAGGUUGCUGAGGCAUAUGCAGAUAUAGCUAUGUUGUAUGAGACAAUGAAUGAAUUUGAGACCGCUCUAUCUUUAAUGAAACGGACCCUUGCAAUGCUUGAGAAGCUUCCACAGGAGCAGCACCUUGAGGGGAGCAUCAUGGCAAGGAUGGGGUGGUUGCUUCUUGUGACAAAAAGAGUGCCCCAGGCUGUUCCAUAUUUGGAAAGUGCAAUAGAGAAGCUGAAGAACUGCUUUGGUCCAAAGCAUUUUGGGUUGGGUUUUGUCUAUAAGCAUUUGGGACAGGCAUACCUGGAGAUGGACCAGCCGCAGUCGGCUGUGAAGAUGCUAGCACUUGCAAAGGACAUCAUUGAUUUCUCAUUUGGGCCAUACCAUGAGGAUUCAAUAGAUACAUGUCAAUGCCUUGCAAAUGCAUAUGGAGCCAUGGGAAGGGUCAAGGGUUUGCUCCCAUCAAUAAUAUCUGUGGUGAUCUCCCACCAUAAUACACCCUCUUUCUAAAGAAACAUGAAUUUUCUUCUCCCACUCCGGUCAGCGAUAUGUUUUCUUUUCAGAUUCUUGUUCUUGCUCCUUUUUCAGAGAGUUGCUAUUUCUACUAGGACAAACCACCACACACCUCUGCACAUGAAACAUCUUUUCUCUUGCAAUGGAGUUCCAACAACAAGUUGCAGAUGCAUGGGAAAACCAUGGGCCGGGUGCUAGAGAUGAACUGAGAGAGGCUCACCGGCUUCUUGAGCAGCUGAAAAAAAAGGCCCAGGGAUCACCAUCCGCUGUUUUUCCUGCAAACACUCUCCCGCUGCCUCCACAAAAGUGAUAUUAUACAUUUCAAACUUGUGCAACCUUAUUGUAAGGUUUACAACUAAAGAGCAUGACACCAUUUUAAGGGACGAUUGGGAUGGAUCUCUUUGGUGGAGAUGGUGCCCAAUAGGCGCCAACACCCGGCUUUCUUGAGCAGAUGUGAUGCCAGCCAAUACCCAACAUGCGUCUGAAACCUGAACUCCAUCCAACUCGGCUUCAAUGCCGAAGUGGACAUAUUGAAGAAUCGAUGGACUAUAGAGACUGGGAAAAGGUGUAUUAUGAGAAUGAUAUAUAUGUCCAUUUGUGAUGUUCAUGGAUGAGUUACCUCCUCUGUCAUCCAAGGCACUGGAGUGGAUACAAAUAAGAGUUUCUUAUGUCUGGAGCUCUGUGCUUCUCCAACUCAAGACACCCCCAUGUGGUUGAACAGUCACUUACCUGCAGGUUCUGACUGGUGCUGGUGUUUCCAAGAGAGCCUGUGGUGGUGUACUCAUAUUUCUUAUCCUUCUGAAAUCAAACUAGAUAUAAUCUUUCUAUAAUACAGAUUUUAAGGCUAUGUAAUUUUUUUACUCUUGUUUGCAGUGUUGCUUUACAGGGGUUAAUUAUGUAUUAGUCUCCAUGUUGCUUCUUAAAAUUUCCCAUUGUAACAAACUAAAUGAAGCUUUGUUAUCGUUUGCUGAUUUCUGUGGAUGACUUUGGGAGUUCAUCAGAGACACAAGUUAUGUGAUUACGGUUGACUAAGAA